GUUGACCUCGGAUCAGGUAGGGAUACCCGCUGAACUUAAGCAUAUCAAUAAGCGGAGGAAAAGAAACCAACAGGGAUUGCCUCAGUAACGGCGAGUGAAGCGGCAAGAGCUCAAAUUUGAAAGCUGGCUCCUUCGGGGUCCGCAUUGUAAUUUGCAGAGGAUGCUUCGGGAGCAGCCCCCAUCUAAGUGCCCUGGAACGGGCUGUCAUAGAGGGUGAGAAUCCCGUAUGGGAUGGGGUGUCUGCGCCCGUGUGAAGCUCCUUCGACGAGUCGAGUUGUUUGGGAAUGCAGCUCUAAAUGGGUGGUAAAUUUCAUCUAAAGCUAAAUAUUGGCCGGAGACCGAUAGCGCACAAGUAGAGUGAUCGAAAGAUGAAAAGCACUUUGAAAAGAGAGUUAAAAAGCACGUGAAAUUGUUGAAAGGGAAGCGCUUGCGACCAGACUCGCCUCGGGGGUUCAACCGGCAUUCGUGCCGGUGUACUUCCCCCGGGGCGGGCCAGCGUCGGUUUGGGCGGCCGGUCAAAGGCCCUCGGAAUGUAACGCCUCUCGGGGCGUCUUAUAGCCGAGGGUGCCAUGCGGCCUGCCCGGACCGAGGAACGCGCUUCGGCUCGGACGCUGGCAUAAUGGUCGUAAGCGACC
rnacentral:rRNA from 1 species